UACAGAGGUCUCAAGCGUUGUUCGGAUUCAUUGGGCGUAAAGAGCGUGUAGGCGGCCCGAUAAGUCCGCUGUGAAAGUCCAGGGCUCAACCCUGGGAUGCCGGUGGAUACUGUCGGGCUCGAGUCCGGAAGAGGAGUGUGGAAUUCCUGGUGUAGCGGUGAAAUGCGCAGAUAUCAGGAGGAACACCAAUUGCGAAGGCAGCUCGCUGGGACGUAACUGACGCUGAGACGCGAAAGCGUGGGGAGCAAACAGG
rnacentral:rRNA from 1 species